AUUUGUUCUUAAAUAAAUCAUUUUCCUACCUGCAAGCUGUGUCCGCACUACACGGCGGGGUCGUUCUCCCUGGAUGCAGAACGGACAACUCCGGACAAAGCGUGAAGUUGAUCCUGCGGUACUUCCUGUGCCAGAGUGCAGUUGGCAAGUUCUGGCAUCCCUGGUAUUCCCGCCGCAUCUCGCUGGCCGUUAGCGGCGGUGUGGCGUUGCAGGGUGCUCCAGCCAGGGUGACGUUGAGAAGGCCGGCCCAAGGGUCCAACAAUUGGGACGCACCAGUGCUCUGCAAAUCAGGUACUCUGAUGGAAGCUAAGGCCUUCAGAUUAACUUGAUAGGUUUGGGUCACCAAAGAACAUCUUACCAGAGAUGAGGACAGCAUGAUCGCAGCUCACAGCUGGAGAUGGGAAGACUUGGGGAACCCAUGGGCACCGGCUGAGGACACCUGGCAAAUUCUGCAUGAUCUGUUGAAAGAAAGGGUACAAAAUAUCUUAUAAGGAACUAUUUCUAUUCCCUACUGUAACACACGACAUCAGGGUCAGCAGUGUCCAAACUCACCAACACAUCUGAGCCUCUGGGUCUGGUUGCUGUCUCUGACUCCGACUACCAGCGGUAGGAAAUGGACCUCACAGAGUAUUCCGCUGAACAAGCUGCUAAUGAUACUUCCCUGUGGACUUCCGCCCACUAUCCAACCGCGCCCGUGGCGGCUGACAAGACUAUCGGGCCUGGCCUGGCGGCGCUUCAGCUGGUUCUGACAGCGACCUUUCAAAGCGUGAGUUAAACACUCCUCUCCUGAAGACAAAAAAAGAGAGUUUUUGGCCAUGGCUGUUAAAUAAUCUUUGAACAGUUGGCUUUCCUGUUAAGAUGAUGCAGGAUUUGGCAAUUUCAUUGGCUCACUCCCAGUUAUACCUAUCUCCAGUGAAGCUCCACAUCCAUAAUUUACAGUAAUAAGGGCAAAGAUUUUUAGGACCAGUUGAUUCUUAUGCAGAGAUAAUACCCAACAUGACAUGGUUCCACUGCCUUAUGGACUCAUACUGGAAAACAAACUGAUUGGAGAAGUUACAAUUCAACACACAAAUGAUACUUGGACAUACCUGGAAAUUCCUUUUUUGGUAUACCUCCAACUUGGGUCAACAAUAGAUCCUUUCAAUCUGUGUAUCCCUUGGAUCUUUCUCCAUGGUCAUUGCGGGUGAUAUAGCUAUUCCUAGCAUAGAUAUUAGGUUUGAAAGCAAGACUAUAUCUCAGACUGAACAGCACUCAGCCAAAUGGUCAUUGUAAACAACAACAGGUCAAGUCAGCUAUUGGAACCACAACAUUGCUUAUCAUCUCAUACAACAGCUACGGAUCCAGCAAGACAUAUUUAAAGUGUGCUCAAGACCAGGAAAUGUGUUCACCUGGACUUACAAAAGGUGGAAAAGACUUGGUACCAUUUAUUUAUUUGUCUUUCUUCCUAAGAUUAAAGUAGCUUUAAAGACAACCAGGCUUAAAAAUAGGACAGCCCAAAUUCAUCCUCAGAACCCAGCAGGGGGCCACUGCUGUGUGCGUGUGUGUGUGUGUCUGUGUCUGUGUAUGUAUGAAUAAUUGACUGGUGUGUGUUCGUGAGACACAGGCCCAAAUUCACCUCAACAUCUGGUUGCAACCCUUUUCACAGCAGAGGGUCAGCAAUUUGCACUUUACCGCUGUUUCUUUUACCGGAUUUGUGGGGAUCCUACAUCCACUUCCUGUCCCCCUAGACUGUUUAUGCUCUACAGCACUUUGUUCGCUCUCCCUCUUGGCCUUUUAUCCACUCUGAUGUGUUGUUUUCAACCAGCAAAAGGCAAGGGUUUGGUAUGCUGUGAAGCCAUCAGCCACUUUUGACUUGCACCAACUUAUUGGCACUUACAGAUCUCUUCAUUGGGUUUACCGGCACAAUCUAAUGAGUUACAACCACGUUAAAAACACGUAGUUAUAUUAAUAUAGCUAGUAUAAUCUUUUCUUUUUUUUAAACUUUUGUUUAUUGGAUUUUUGACACAUACAGUCCAGAAAUACAAUCAAACACAUGUCUUUUUUCUACCCCAAACAAGUAACCCACAAAAAUGGUAUGUAAAAUUAAAUAAAAAUAACAAACUACAAAAAAAACAUGCCACGGUCAAAUAAGUACAGACAACUGCACUCCUGAAUGUCCCUAACACGGUGGAGCAAUACACAAAAGAAGACAAAGGGCUCAUCAAUUUUCUACCUUUCAAAAACUUUUCAAUCGGGGUUAAAACAUUUGAGAUCAGUCUAAUUUACGUAUUUUAGGAAACUACCCCAUACUUCCUGAAACUUCACAGAACCACCGUUUAAUGUCAGCCUAGUUUUCUCCAAUUUAAGGAGGGUCUGGCAAGGCAGCGGUGUUGCCUUCCAAUUUAACACAAUGAGUUUUCUAGCUUACAAAGUAAUGAACGCCACAAGAUUCUAGCACAAAUAGAAGACUUAUGAACUCUACUUAAAAUCUCUGUCCAGAUGUCCUCAGAUAAAGUCACUCCUAAGUCACCCUCCUAAAGUGACUUCAUUGAUUGAUCUGAUUGUACAGAUUCAGGGUGUCAAUAAAAGAUUUGAUUGUAAAUACAAGUUAUUGAUCCUUUUAAAGUCGGAAGUGGUGUCAGAAAAAGCAUCUAAAAACUGUCCGUCGGUAAGUUUGGAAACCUGGGAAAAGUAUUACAAACAAAAUUGCGGAUCUGUAGAUAUCUAUAGGUAUCUAAAAACAGUGUUGAUUAGGAAGUGAAAAUGUAUCACUAAGUUGCUGGAAAGAAGCAAAAGUUUUGUCAAAGUAUAAAUCUUUAAUGUUGUUGAUCCCCAGACUCGACUAUCUUAAAGAGGCAUUAUCAACAAGAGAGGGAGGGAAAGAAUGAUUAGCAGUGAUGGGUGCAAGACUAGAAAUAGUCUGUAAACCAAAAUAGAGCUUAAACUGAACCCAAAUUCUGAACGAGGUUUUAACGAUUGGAUUUUUUGUAAAAGCGGAAGUAGAAGAUUGGAUGUGAGGGUGAACCAAAGCCCUAAGAGAUACUGGUUUAGUUAAGUUAGCCUCCAUAACCAGCCAUAACAAAGGGGGAUCAAGUUCUUCAUAUUGCAGCCGAUAUUUUAGAAUCCUAAUGUUGGUGACCCAGUAAUACAAUCUAAAGUUUGAUAGUGUUAAUUUGGGUCUCUGUAAAGAUUGUUUACGUAACCUGUGAGUCUUUUUGUUCCAAAUGAAGUCUCAAACCUGACUAACUGAGGGAGAACAUGUGGUAUAGACAAACAGGAGUAAUCUCAGAAGUAAGUUCAUUUUAACAGAGUUGAAGCUAACACAAUCGUUACAAAAAACGAAUGUUGUGAUACGGCUGGCAUCAGAAGUGUAGACACUCUUCCUACCCAGCAAGGACUCUGUCUUGCAUAACACAACAAGCUUUAAAAGGGGGGCUUUCAAAAACGGCCAACCUUCACUGUCUCUUCUGCUUCAGUUAAGGACAGAACUUUGUACUCGCACACACUAAAUAAAACACACUAGCAGGCUCGGCGACCUUUCAAGAAAGGAACGCUACUAUCACAACUACUAAAGCUUGGUAAGUCAAAGACUAUUGCCAACUAUUUACUAACCAAUUGCUGCAUCUUUUGUAAACCUGCACCACCUAAAAGUUCCUUCUGAUGAUUAUUUUUAAUAAUGUUGCAACAGUUAUGAACAACAAAUGCCCCACUUUAGAGUAGGAACGGGUAUUGUUUACAUUUCAAAGCGUUUUUUUUGCAACCUUUACGUGGAUGGCGAGAGUGCGCUAACUUUCCAAAGUGUUUCAGGGACUAUAUCCCGCCAAUUUUAACAAGGAAACUUAAAUGGGUACUCAACUCUCCAUGUACUCAACGGUAAUUGUAAUUGUCAUGAUUAUUGCAACAAACGCUGCAACAAUACAAAGCAUGUGCAGAGAAAUGUCUUGCUUGUGUUGUCAUGUUGAUGCUCAUAAUUCAUGUAACACAAAUAGUGAGCACACGUAUAGUAGCACACUUCUUUUUUCAGUCUGAUUACUACCGUUUACCGUAAUGGAACAGAGUUUUGGUACCAAGAGCGAGGAGCGAUAGAUGGCUCUAAGACACAGAAGGUCCCAUGCACUCACCCAAGUAAAUACCAUCCAGAUGGGAGCAUCUCUUCUUGGUCACAUUCAGGUCCACGUAGAAGAGGCCCACCGGGUGUCCAAAGUUCUCCCCUGGGCUGGGGUCCAGCACCAGCACUGCAUCGUGGGCCACAGAGGACUGGUAAGGCGACUGGUACCUGUGGCGACUCUCCCUCCCGUUUGCCCUUGGACCCGCGCUCAAAGCAGCCCGAAACUUGGAGCCCGGAAGCACGCUGGAGGGGGACGAGUCCGGGAGGAUGGCGAGCACUUUGUCGGAGGCUCCUGGAGGAUUAUGGAGAUACCAAAAAACAAUCCUGCUUAGUUCCAGUAUUUGUUGCAUGGAUGAAGACGUCCACAUCUUCCAUGGGAUGCAACAUUCUGUCAAGUCUGUGAACUUUCUAUGAGAUGAUAUAUUGUAGGAAGGAACGGAUUGAAAUCAACAGUAAAUAAUGAGGAAUUUGAAAUUGUUGGUUCAAACAUUUGAAACAUGUUCAGAAGCUUGAAUAUUGAUACGUAUUAAAAACACAGUAACUGUCUGUACUGUCAAAUACUGCUAACAUCCACAAUGUGAACAUGGUCGCGGUAAAACUGUGUUCUACGCACAGUCGAGUGCCUGCAAAACUUUGGUGUCAAAACAAUGGCACGCCUAAAACACACUCUGUGCACUGUGCUUACUAAGACUCUGAGCAUUUGCGCAUACUCUGUUUGAGCUCGGACUCUGUGCACUGCGUUAGCGCAAACAGAGUCUAGCGAGUGCAAACAGUCCUUGCAAGUGCAAACAGAGUCUA